rnacentral:rRNA from 1 species
UACAGAGGGUGCAAGCGUUAAUCGGAAUUACUGGGCGUAAAGCGCGUGUAGGCUGCUCGGAAAGUCGGAUGUGAAAGCCCUGGGCUCAACCUAGGAAGUGCAUUCGAAACUUCCGAGCUGGAGUGCUGGAGAGGAAGGCGGAAUUCUCGGUGUAGAGGUGAAAUUCGUAGAUAUCGAGAGGAACACCGGUGGCGAAGGCGGCCUUCUGGACAGCCACUGACGCUGAGACGCGAAAGCGUGGGGAGCAAACAGG